AGGCAGCAGUGGGGAAUCUUGGACAAUGGGCGAAAGCCUGAUCCAGCAAUGCCGCGUGUGCGAUGAAGGCUUUCGGGUUGUAAAGCACUUUUAUCAGGGAAGAAAUGGUUUGGGAUAAUACCUCAAAUAGCUGACGGUACCUGAAGAAUAAGCACCGGCUAACUACGUGCCAGCAGCCGCGGUAAUACGUAGGGUGCAAGCGUUAAUCGGAAUUACUGGGCGUAAAGCGUGCGCAGGCGGUUUGCUAAGACAGGUGUGAAAUCCCCGGGCUCAACCCGGGAACUGCAUCUGUGACUAGCAGACUAGAGUUUGGCAGAGGGGGGUGGAAUUCCUGGUGUAGCAGUGAAAUGCGUAGAUAUCAGGAGGAACACCAAUGGCGAAGGCAGCCCCCUGGGCCACCACUGACGCUCAUGCACGAAAGCGUGGGGAGCAAACAGGAUUAGAUACCCUGGUAGUCCACGCCUAAACGAUGUCAACUAGUUGUUGGAUCUUUUUUGAUUUGGUAACGAAGCUAACGCGUGAAGUUGACCGCCUGGGGAGUACGGCCGCAAGGUUAAAACUCAAAGGAAUUGACGGGGACCCGCACAAGCGGUGGAUGAUGUGGAUUAAUUCGAUGCAACGCGAAAAACCUUACCUACCCUUGACAUGUCAGGAAUUUUACAGAGAUGUAAAAGUGCUCGAAAGAGAACCUGAACACAGGUGCUGCAUGGCUGUCGUCAGCUCGUGUCGUGAGAUGUUGGGUUAAGUCCCGCAACGAGCGCAACCCUUGUCAUUAGUUGCUACGUAAGGGCACUCUAAUGAGACUGCCGGUGACAAACCGGAGGAAGGUGGGGACGACGUCAAGUCCUCAUGGCCCUUAUGGGUAGGGCUUCACACGUCAUACAAUGGUUGGUACAGAGGGUUGCAAACCCGCGAGGGGGAGCUAAUCCCAAAAAACCAAUCGUAGUCCGGAUUGUAGUCUGCAACUCGACUGCAUGAAGUCGGAAUCGCUAGUAAUCGCGGAUCAGAAUGCCGCGGUGAAUACGUUCCCGGGUCUUGUACACACCGCCCGUCACACCAUGGGAGCGGGUUUUACCAGAAGUGGCUAGCUUAACCGUAAGGAAAGCGGUUACCACGGUAGGAUUCGUGACUGGGGUGAAGUCGUAACAAGGUAGCCGUAUCGGAAGGUGCGGCUG
rnacentral:rRNA from 1 species